CUACUUUUACAUUAUAUAGUUUGAAUUUAUUGUUUUAGACAGUUUGUAACUUUUAAAAAAAAAUGUUGCAGGCUGGAUAGCCUUAUAAUGGAAGCAACAUCAAUUGUUACCUACAUUGAGACUUCAAACGGUUGCUGUUGGCCAAGCUAAAGUACUUGACAGCUUGUCGGAAACUUAUCAAGAAGAAAACAUUUAGGGACAUCUUCUGGAAAACAGAGAAGUCUCUCUUUGCCUUCACCUAAAACAGACGGAGAUGAAGUGAAUGUUGAGACAAACGCACAGAUUGAUCCGGAGUUAGCCAGACUGAAGACUAUGAACGUACAUAACGCGGCAGCGAUUGCAGCACAGGCAGUUGCAGAGGCAGAGCCUGCCAUGGCAGUGGCUGAAGAAGCUGCAAAGGAUGCAGAGUUAGCAGAGGCCGAAGCAGAAGUAGCUCAAGCUUUCGCAGAAGAAGAUACAACAACUGCAAAGUGGGUUGCUCAUGGUGUAAAUAAGGUGAUUCAUGUGAGAUGAAUAAUGGAUGGCUGAGUUUGGUCCAAGCUCUAUAUUUCUCUCCUCAUGUUUAUGUGAUUUUUUCAAAAGUAGCAUUGGAGUAUGAGAUAUGUGAUGCUCAUAUAGCUAUCCAAGCCAGACUGAUGAGCCAAGUGAGUGCUUUUGUUUCAAAAGCAUAAACUGAGCCACUCUUUGUCUUAGCGCUAACACUUAUCAUUUUUAUAAAUCAGGAAUUGAACUGAUUUGCACUGAAGUGGAGCAAACUCAACUUCAAACUGUCUGACUCUCCUCUAUCGAUGUCUACCGCAGCGAUGACUCUGCUGAUCAAGCCAAGCGCUUCUUCACCAAGCUCAUCGAGAAAGAAGUUUUUUGUUCCUAUUUGCUUUGUGGCCUUCUAAGAGAUUCGUGUCUAAAUCCUAAAAAUAUUUAAUUCGUGUCUGAGAGAGUCACUAAGUGAAACUAAAAUCUUACAAAGCAAUGAACACAUGUGUUCGGAAUUUGAAAUUGUUGGAAGUAGUGAACAAGUUUGAUAAUUGGUUUAGGUUAUAUAGUUUGGAUUUGAAUUUCAGGCUUUUUAAUUAAAAACAGAGUAUUCAUUUAUUAAUAUGUAGUUUGAUUGGUCAGGGUGAUAAACAGUCAAAUGGGGCCACUUCCAUGUUUGCACAACAUAGUAACGUUUAACUGAUGAUAUCGUCCAUGCAAAACUGUAAUGAUGCAUGUUUUCUCUCCUGCCUUCACCGUAUAGUCGAUGAUGAAAGUGGUGAUCUAUAUAGAUCUUCAGGCAUUACUUUUAGGAGUUAUAGGAGAACCCAUAAGGGAUAACUUUAUCGUGUGUAUGAGUUACUUGAUGAGAAGACAUACUUUAGAAUCAUCAGUGGAACCACAGUGAAUUCAUCAAGAUUGAUGCAUAUAGAAUGGAAGUUACAAGCCUCCUAUGGCUGUCACAAGUGCUUUCCUAGAGUAGACAUGGAAUACAGUACAAGAAGAACGAACUUUAUUGGUGAACUGAGCGUGAUUAGGAGCACAGUGAACGACACACAAGGCAGACGACGUAUAAUGGCAUUUACAGCUCAGCAUCCAAAGAAGCAUUUAAUGAAAAAGAUGGUUGGAAACAUGCGCGUGAAGCAGAGACAUAAUUCAAAGAAGCUUUCUUCUUGGUUAAUGAAUGGUCAUCGGGUUUGAGUUUCUUUAUAAUCCAUAUAUAGACAUGACGUGGUGUCACGAAUACUAAAGUCUCCCUCAUUUCCUGUUGAAUAGAAUCUAGCUAAAGGGUUUGUCUGCAUGUUGAGGUUUGUAAUAUGUAUUGGCAGGGCGUCCCUCCCAUAAGGCCAGUGAGGAAAGGGCUUUAGGCCACAAAUUUUCUGAGGCCACAAAUUUUCUGAAAAAUGAUUAUGGUCAAGUGGUUAAAAACAUUAUUUUCACUUUUUGUUUGAGUUGGAGUUUGCACCUUUAACGUUAUGGUUUAUGUUGACUUG